UACGGAGGGUGCGAGCGUUAUCCGGAUUCAUUGGGUUUAAAGGGAGCGUAGGUGGCCUUAUAAGUCAGUGGUGAAAUCUCUCGGCUUAACCGAGAAAUUGCCAUUGAUACUGUAGGGCUUGAGUAUAGUUGCCGUUGGCGGAAUAUGACAUGUAGUGGUGAAAUACAUAGAGAUGUCAUAGAACACCGAUUGCGAAGGCAGCUGACGAAACUAUAACUGACACUGAGGCUCGAAAGUGCGGGGAUCAAACAGG
rnacentral:rRNA from 1 species